AAAUUGGGUCAAUUCUAAAAUGGCCCAACUAAUUUUUAAGACCCAAAUCUCCUCAAGCCCCUUACCCCGUCCUAAAACCCUAGACUUAGCCUAUAAAAGGAUUUAGACCCCUACACACAAAAGAAAAAGCGCCUAGAUAAAGCGAGAGCCGCGCAGUCAGAGAGAAAAGGACCCCUGAACUUCUUCUUCUUCAUUUUGAAGAACAGGAGCAGUAGCAGAACCCCAAAAAAAAACAACGACCCACAUUGCUUUUGCUCGACUUCUUCACCAAUUUCGCAACUGGAGACAUCCUCCUAAUUCCCAAACAAAUCCAGCGACCAAACAACUCAAACCAGCUUCUGUUGUCGGAAACCAGAUGCGCGAUGUUACCGGCGAGCGCGCGCACGCACACAACUACCGUUCCCCCUCUCACAUCUGUUACUACCAUGACCAGCCGUAGAUACAAUAGAAACAUUGACAAAGCGUAAGAGGUUUCCAACCAUCGAGUCGUUGAGGUCGUCGCUGUCCAUUCGAGAUCUCCAUACGCUGGUCCAAUAUUCAACAACUUGUUUCAUUUUAGGGAGAAAUGUUCUUAAGGUUCUAUUCUAUCCUUUUUCUACUGGUUAUAUUAAUAAAAAUGUCUGAAACUUUACUCUAUUUGUGUUAAUAACUUGGGUUUGAGAUUGAAUUGAUUUCU
rnacentral:lncRNA from 1 species